GUCUACGGCCAUACCACCCUGAACGCGCCCGAUCUCGUCUGAUCUCGGAAGCUAAGCAGGGUCGGGCCUGGUUAGUACUUGGAUGGGAGACCGUCUGGGAAUACCGGGUGCUGUAGGCU
rnacentral:rRNA from 1 species